rnacentral:ncRNA from 1 species
UGAGUCAUUAGCUCGCGUUGAUUACGUCCCUGCCCUUUGUACACACCGCCCGUCGCUACUACCGAUUGGAUGAUUUAGUGAGGUGUUUUGACUGGCGCCAGUAGUCGGAUAUGUAUUCGGCUUCGCGCCGGGAAAUUUCCCAAACCAAAUCAUCUAGAGGAAGUAAAAGUCGUAACAAGGUUUCCGUAGGUGAACCUGCGGAAGGAUCAUUA